rnacentral:lncRNA from 1 species
AUAUGAUGAAGAGGUACAUGUUGAUGGUAGUUGUGGUCCGAAAUAUGUUGAUGAUGAGGUUGAAGUUGAUAGUGUUAAUGUUAGUGAAGAUGAAGCACAAAAAGAAUGUGAGAAUGUUGAUGAAGGAGUACAACAAGAAUGUGGGAAUGUUUAUGAAGGAAUACAAAAUAAAAAAGAUGGUGUUGACGUUGACAUAGAUAGUUUUAACGAUGAAUAAUAUGAAUGUAGUGAGGAUUAAAUUAAGUUGGAUUGAGCCACAGUCCUACCAAGUAAUGAAAAGGUGAGUCAUUCUGAUAAAAAUGAAUGUGGUGAAAAUGAAUAUGGUGACGAUGUCUAUGAUUCUGAUCAACUACAUACUCCUCACAAAAGUGGCAAUGGUGAAGAGCAUGAAAAGUUUUCAACUUAUAGAAUUGAUGAAGGCUUCAAAUUUCAAUUAGGUAUGGUAUUUAACAACAAAGAGAUAAUGAGGGAUA